rnacentral:rRNA from 1 species
UACGUAGGGGGCUAGCGUUGUCCGGAUUUAUUGGGCGUAAAGAGCUCGUAGGCGGCUCUGUAAGUCGGGUGUGAAAUCUCCAGGCUCAACCUGGAGACUCCACCUGAUACUGCUGUGGCUAGAGUCCGGUAGGGGAACACGGAGCUUCCGGUGUAGAGGUGAAAUGCUUAGAUAUCGGGAGGAACACCAGUGGCGAAGGCGGUGUUCUGGGCCGGAACUGACGCUGAGGAGCGAAAGCGUGGGUAGCAAACAGG